rnacentral:lncRNA from 1 species
UGCUCGUACUUGUGUUUCCCUUUUAAAAAAUAAUAAAAUAAUUUAAAAUGAUUAACUAAAUGUUUAUAAUAAGAAUUUUAGUGAGUAUUGAAUAACUUACUUUCAGAGUAGCGAUUUCGUCUAACAAGUCUUUCUGUUUUUGUAUCAAGGCCGUCAUUUGUUGGUUAACCGUCUCGAAUCUCUGGUUAACGGCCGAAUCUAAUCUCUGGCUAACGACCGUCUCUAAUUGCAUGUUAACGGCUUCUUGAACUCGAUUAUCGAAUUCUUCUUUUUUCUUCUUUUCUAUUUCUUCUCUUGUUUGGCGAUUCAAUUUAGCCUUGGAUUGCUUUGGCAUCAAUGAAUCGUCCCCCGGUCUCAAUCCGAGAAUACGGCCCUUUGUUUUGCCUCCUGUAGCCUUAAUCC